AUUGAACGCUGGCGGCAUGCCUUACACAUGCAGGUCGAACGGCAGCACGGGAGCAAUCCUGGUGGCGAGUGGCGAACGGGUGAGUAAUAUAUCGGAACGUGCCCAGUCGUGGGGGAUAACGUAGCGAAAGCUACGCUAAUACCGCAUACGAUCUAUGGAUGAAAGCGGGGGAUCGCAAGACCUCGCGCGAUUGGAGCGGCCGAUAUCAGAUUAGGUAGUUGGUGAGGUAAAGGCUCACCAAGCCGACGAUCUGUAGCUGGUCUGAGAGGACGACCAGCCACACUGGGACUGAGACACGGCCCAGACUCCUACGGGAGGCAGCAAUGGGGAAUUUUGGACAAUGGGCGCAAGCCUGAUCCAGCAAUGCCGCGUGCAGGAUGAAGGCCUUCGGGUUGUAAACUGCUUUUGUACGGAACGAAACGGCGAGCUCUAAUACAGCUUGCUAAUGACGGUACCGUAAGAAUAAGCACCGGCUAACUACGUGCCAGCAGCCGCCGUAA
rnacentral:rRNA from 1 species